UACGUAGGGUGCGAGCGUUAUUCGGAAUUACUGGGCGUAAAGCGUGCGCAGGCGGCUCGUUAAGACAGGUGUGAAAGCCCCGAGCUUAACUUGGGAAUUGCGCUUGUGACUGGCGUGCUGGAGUGUGGCAGAGGGAGGUGGAAUUCCACGUGUAGCAGUGAAAUGCGUAGAUAUCUGGAGGAACACCGGUGGCGAAGGCGGCGUCCUGGACCAACACUGACACUGAUGAGCGAAAGCCAGGGGAGCAAACGGG
rnacentral:rRNA from 1 species